UCUUGGUUGGUUUUCCAAGUGGAAAGCCAAAGGACUCUUGGAUCUGGCAGUGCUCUAGGCCCUGUCCUCUAGUGCUCUAGGCCCUGUUCCCGAUCCCCAGGGACCCUUGCUCCUUAGCUGUAUCCAACUCUGGAGAGGUGCAGCCAGGAAGAGGCUGGUACCUGAAGCCCCAGCAUUUCCCAAAGCAGCUGGAAGAAACAGACACAUGAUUACAGUGGCUGGGACUGGAUCCGGGGGGCAGGUCAGCUCAGGCAUGCCAGGAUAUAAAGAGAAAGGAAGUACAGACAGCAAUUUGGAAGAUUUAGGAGUUCUUGGGCUGUCAUCGGAUUUUAUGUGUUGUCACUGACAUAUGUUUGUAUUCUCUCCAGAGCAGGUACGAGCUGGGAAGAAGGCAGGCAGGGCAUGCCUGUGUGCCAGGUCUGCACAGCUGGAUAGAUGAGGAAAGAUGUGGAGGAGGGGCUGGUGAUUGUCCGGAAGCUGAAGGAUGUUGUUUGGCCCUUGGGCUCCAGAACGUGAGAUCUCCUGACCCUACUUCAAUCCUGUUUGGUCUGGUCUCUGCUCCCUACCCACCACUGCCCACCUGCCUCCCUCUCUCCCCGGAACCCAGGCUCCUACCUGCCCUCUGGAUCUAUAAGUUCUUGCCUUCAGGCCUGCAUGCUUUGUCUAGCAUCUCCCUUCAACACUAGGAGGCCCAAGAGUGAUCAAAAUCCUGUUACCUGGGGGAGCAGGUAAACUCCCAGAAUUCUCUCACUGUGAAACGCACUUGUCUGGAAGAUACUAGUGUCCAUAAAGUUCUGGAAAGAAGCCCCAUGCCAGGGAAAUAUGCCCUUGUAAAAGUGUUUCACAAUAAGCAGGUGAAGCCAGCAGAAGGCAUGUUCCAUGGCUCUCUACAGUGUGGAUCUGUCAUCGCCUGACCUGAGUCACUGGACAUGGAAUGGAGUAGCAUCCUGGUGAUAACUUGACCUUUGACCUUUAACUCCCAAUCUGUUGGUGAAGAGUCUUCUCUUUUUUUUUUUUUUUUUUUUUUGAGACAAAGUUUCAUUCUUGUUGCUCAGGCUGCUGGAGUGCAAUGACAUGAUCUCAGCUCACUGCAACCUCCACCUCCCAGGUCCAAGUGAUUCUCCUGCCUCAGCCUCUGGAGUAGCUAGGAUUACAGAUGCCCACCACCAUACCAGGCUAAUUUUUGUAUUUUUAGUAGAGACAGCAUUUCACCAUGUUGUCCAGGUUGGUCUCUGACUCCUGACCUCAGUAAACAUGGCCCAUUCUCUCAGUAAACGUGGCCCUUUUAAGUAUAAAAAGGCAGGAUUAGCAUAGAGUACAUUCAUUCAACAUUUUUGUCAGGAUUAAUGUUCCUGUAAAGACAUAGUGAGCACUUUUCAUAUACUAAUUUAGUUGUACAUUUAACUUUGUUUGUAUAAUACAGAAAUCGAAAUAUAUUUAAUGAAUCCAAGCAAUAUAUCACUUGACCAAGGAAUUGGAAUUUCAAAAUGUUUGUGUGGAUAUAUACCAGAUGAGUACCAUGAGUAGUUUUAUGUAUCACCAGACUUGGUUAUUGCCAAGUUGUAUAUCACCAAAAGCUGUAUGAUUGGGUGUUCUGGUUACCUGGAUUACAGAAGUAUCAGACUAGUAAAACUCUGAUAUACAUGAGGACAUUAAAACCAUGCUGAGCAUCAUUUGACUUCAAUUCAGAAAGUACUUUAGUAUCUCUCAGUACUUCAGUGUUGUCACUGUGAGCAACUGCCUUUUAUAUUCAGUACUGUAACCAUAUUAGGACUUUCUGUGGCAUUCUCUAGAUAUUUCUUUUUUACACAAUAAACUCCUCAUGUCAAAAAAAAAACAUGGCCCAUUCUCAAACCUCCAAACAGAGGCCACAUGUAAAACUCCCUCCCAGCCACCAGCACCCCAGGGAGAGCCCCACCUCUUGUUAAGGACACAUCUCAGGGCAGCCACUCUGAAAACAGUGUCUGGGGGCCCAAUGGAAGCACCUGCU
rnacentral:lncRNA from 1 species